ACUAUCCUGGUGGAGCAGCCUGGCCCUAAAUGAGACUUGCGAGUGACCCCAGGACACUCACUGACAUGGAUCGGGAAACUGCUUUAGGAUCCCAGGAAUUGGACUACGAUCAAACCCCAUACUCUCCCAUUUGCCUAUCAUGUGUCCAUAUUUCUGUAUUGUCACUGGUAUAUUAAAAAUCUUGGCCUGCACAACAACAAUGAAAUGAAAUCCUGCUGUCUACCUAGUUUAGCUGCAAGGAACAGAAAAUUCAAAGUAACAGUGGUCUAAACAAGAUAGGCAUGUAUUCCUAUCUUACCUAAAUGAAACCAGUAGGUGUGAGAAGCCGACAACAGCUGUCACGACAUUCUUAAAAGGUCCUCAAGAGUCUAGACUCAGCCUUCCACUUCCCUCUUUGCCAUCACUGGAAUGGUCCAUGUUCCAGUUCACAAAGUGGGGAAAGAAAAAGGACAUGGUUUUUCUCUUAGGAAAGGUGUUUAGAAGCUGUGAAACAUUUCUGCUCACAUCUCCUUGGCCAGAAUGUAGUUACAAGAUCAAAAUCAUACUAGCCACAGGGAGGCUGGAAAAGCCUAGUAUCUCAGAAAGACAAAGGAAUUGUCUUCGAGGGAAUGACAAACUAUAUCUGUCUGUCAUGCUUCAAAUGCAAGAGUCCCAUUAGCUGGGGUUCAUUCUUGGGAGCCACUUCAACUUGUCUUCUUCAGAGAAGCCCUUCAGUGAGACCACAGAGAACACUGUGCAUCCCAGGAUUGCAGCCACUGGAAUCCAGCAACUCAAGGAGGAGCCAGCCAUGGAUACUAGAACUAGAAUUCACUAAAGGUCAGGGCCUUCAGGAAUUUUCAUCUGAUUUGAUGAUUGUGUGAUGCCUUCCUCCUCAUGAGCCCCAGGAAAGCUCCCAUCCCAUGUUCCAGCUGAGGCACCCAACAGCAACAAUGUUUUGUGAAAAUACUAUGUGAUUUGGAUGCAAAUGAUCCUGGGUUCAAGACCUGCUUCUGUAGCUUCUGUAAAGAAGAGAAUACCACACUCUGUUCUCCCAGUCAUGUGGGGAGUUCAUCAAAAACCAUGGAAAGUGCAUCGCCUAAGGUGGGUGCCUGAUAAAUGCCCAAGCCUUUGGCUUCCCCUCUACUGAUAGCUGUUUUCCCCUCAUCUUCCUGAUGUAAAAGGUAGGUGGGAGCCUUUAUGCCUUUUCCUGAAAGUAGAAGUCAGCCUCAUCCCAGCCUGUGAGGCUGCUAAACCAGCCUCUAGCUCUUUCCUGUGUUGCUCAGGGCUUCCUGCCUCUCUGUAGGCCUAUCACCUCUCCUUGUCAACUCCUCUAUUCAGUUCUCCACCAACCCUUUGCCCCUACCUUCAGGAAGCUUUGCAUUCUUGCAAACUAGCAGGAAGCCCUAAAUUCACAGUACAGAGUCUGGAAUUCACUUCCCACUGCUUGGUGAUCCAUCACACCAUGCUGUUUCUGCUUAUCUUUCUCUAUGACAACCUGCACCCUCAAUCUGGUGGCACUUAACAUGGCAAUAAGAGCAUAGUAAGUAGGGCCACUUCACACGGUCUCAUUUAUGUAGAUGCUUGUUCUUUCAAGCUUGUCACCCUCAAUUCAGUAUCUACUAUAGAUACAUUGACAAGGCUUGGAAAUUCACCAGAGGAUGAUCUCCCAUGUUUUCAAAUUGCUGUGUGGGGCUUCUAAGAAGACAAACUUUGGAAACUGCCCCUCUUUUGCAGGGGAUUGAGUGGAACUCAGGAAUAUGCCAUUGCCCACCCGCCCUGUGGUAACCAGCCUCUAAGAUAGUCUCCAGCAAUUUCUGCCUUCCGAUACUCACACUCUAACAUGGUCCCCUCCCACACUGUCAGGGUUGGUGUGUAACCAAUAGAGUGCAGGAGUGAUACUGUACCACUCUGAGGGCGAGAUUAUGGGUGUCAUUUGGCCCUGUCUUGCUUUCUCUUGGAUCACUCACUCUGGUGGAAGCCAGUGGCCAGUCUCGUGGAUACUUGGGCAGCCCAGUGGACCAUGUAACAGCUCAACUGCAGCUUCAUGGAAGACCCUGAGCCAGAACAAGUUGGUUAAGCUGUUCCCAGAUUCCUGACCCUCAGAAACAGUGUGAAAGACAAAUACCAGACUGACACAUUUUUCACAAGUUUUCAUGCAGCUAUAGAUAACUAAUACAAACUCUCUGUUCCAAAUUACCACUACUUACCUCCCCCUGCAGAAAUGUCCACCCCUUACAAAGGUAUAGCUGAGGUGAGCCAACUUUACUUAUAAUUGAAAAAAAAUUAAAUGUAAUUUAAAAGUAUUUGAGUAUCAUUUUAUUGCCAAGUGACACACCCAACAAAGCCAAACAGCAUAACUUUCCUUGACAAGAAUAUCUGGUUUGUCUAUGAUUAGAAACAAAGUAUAUUUGUUUUCCUAGAGAGCCUAAGGUUUCGAUGGGAUAAUGUAAAAGAAUUUUAAGAAAGCUGCACUAACUGGUGUUUGAAAGUCAAAUACCCUUAGUAUAAGCCACAAUAAAUGAAAUAAAACUA